UGGUAAAACAUUCAAAAUUCUGAAAAUAUCCUUGAUACACUAAAAUUUUAAUACGCACCGAUUUUAAUUAAAGUAGGGUAUAAUUGUAAAAGAACAAUUAUGAAGAACUUUAAAAAAAUUAAAAAGAAAAGAAAAAAGUUUAACAGACCCCACUCCAGAGCAGUUGCUCUUCCUAUCAGUUUCUUCUGGCACGUUCUAUUCAAAAAAGAUGAAAGCAAAACUGAAACCAUCCAAAACCCACCAUGGCCCUCAAACUUGGAAACGCAUUUCCUCCCCUCCCAUGUUUCGCAGAGCAAGAAUCCUCAUCUACUCACUGCAUAAAAAGGGAGGAAGAUUGAAGGAAAAAGAGCUGAAGCAAUCAAUAUUGGAACCCCCAGUGUGCUCAUCAAUCUGUAUUUGUAAGAUGUUGCAGUGUAUGAGAGAGGCAAGAAAAUUAUGGUAUGAUGCUGUUAAAACCGAUCGACGUUUACUCAGAUUCUAAAUCAGACGGUCCAUCUCGCAUCACCAACCCUCAGUCUCAGGGUCCAGUCAUUAGUUCAAGAACUCAAAGUCCAGAAUUGCUUCAAUGACUCCGGUUCCAUGCUUUCUUUUUAUUAAUCUUCAAUAUGCAGAGCAUCAAUUCUUUAAAUGAUGGAAUCAUCUCUCACCUCGCACUCUCUGACGCAUAAUGGUUCCAGAAGACGCAGAGGAAACUAUAUUUAAGGAAUUAAAAGCAAAAUGAGGAUCAGAGUUGGAGGGAGUUCAAGAAUAACAUGAAAGCAAAACAAAAGGGAAGCAUCAUGGUGAGUGAUAAGCACUGAUCAUGACUUCUUCGAGCAGUGAACCAAAGUCGCUCUUCUUCAUGGACAAGUCCAAAGGUACCUUAUUCAUACCUUUGUUUUUUUGUUUUUUGUUUUGAGUGACAUAUUUGUCUUUUUUCGCUUUCAGUAAUUGAAUUGCUUCUGUAUAACAAAUCCCAAUUUCAGGGUGAUAGAGUGGUGGAGAUGCAGAUGGAGGUGUGGGUAUUUUGGCCAUGUUAAAAGGAAAUUGCAAGUUUAUGGUUUGGUUUAAACAAUUGUGUGGCUGUGUGUUCGCUUUAGGUGAAGGUGUCGUGAUGCAAAAGAAACUAUGUUUCUAGCUUUAAAUUCUGUGUUUCUAUGUACUAAUUUGGCGAUUUCUCAAUGUUUCUAUUAGGUUAUUUCAUAUGGAUGCUAGAAGGGACAUAAUUUUCUGUGGUGGCAAUUACACUAUCCAAUUUGCUGCAUGAGGCUACCAAAGAAGACAGUAGCAGGAGAGCAUAAAAGUGCUGCCGGAGGAGGUUUAUGUACAAGCAGUAGCUAAAAGGAUUUUAAUUGUCAUGAAUUUUUUGUUUAUUCUUUUCCUUUUUCAAUGGUUGCAAUACUAGCUUCUUCGUUUUUUUUUUUGUUGGUCAACAUUGCAAUACUAGCUUCAAUUACUAUAUUUUGGUGUAACGAGUUUUGUUUUAAAUAAAGACUUAUUCAAUUACAUCUGUUCCAAAUUCGGUUCAAUGGUUAACAAUGAUAAUUGUUAUCAAUAAAUACAAAGAGGAA